rnacentral:lncRNA from 1 species
UUGGCAAUGCUUUCUUUCACUUGAUUAUGUAUGAUACAAGGCGAAAGCAGCUUGUGCUAAAUUACAAGAAACUGCACAAACAGACUGGUAAAGGUGAAACCAUCUACCAGCAAAAGCUGGAGGGAGGGAUUGAUGGGAUGAACUAGCUAAUCCUAACGACUAGUAGCUAGUACCUGACGAGGGUGGUGGUGGUGGUAGUAAUCCAUAGGGGCGUUGUCCCUGUGACUGUGAUCUGGGGCAGCAGCUUCGUGGGGGCGCGGCGUGUAGGCGUCGUCGGCGACCUUGUUGUGCCAUGCGGGGUGCCUCGGCGGCGUCUCGCUGCCAGCCUUGUCUUGCAAGUAGGCGGCGUCGGUGUGGUCGGCUUUCGGCGCGCCUUCGUGGUAGGCCUCGUGGGCGACUGCGGGCGGCUGUUCCUGUUGGUACACCGGUGCCGGCACCGGCGCUGACCAGUAGCCGCCCCCUCUGCUGCGGGCGCGGCCGCCGUAGUCGUCCGGCCUGCGGCCCGAAGCACGAGCCGAACUCCAAGCACAUUCUAUAGGUGGCGAGUGGUGACUGGCGCCGGGUGCUUCUUUUUGUUCACUUCGUGCGUGAUGGGCUACUGGUAGUGGGAAGCAGCACUAUCCUGGAAGUAGCUGCUGGGGAUGGGUAUCAGUGCCAGUGGUGGCGUGGAUGAACCUGAAACUGACAGUGUUGGUGUGGUGGGUGAGGGUGAUAUAUAUUCGGGGCCGAGAAGAGAGCUCGUGCUGGGCGCGACGUGUGCAUACGAAGCCAAGCGAGCCGAAAGCUCCGUAUGAAAAGGGGGUGGGUGGGUUUAGGUCCCGAUCGAUCAGGCUCAUCGUCGACACGUCUCCGCGCCCUCUCAUGUCGCUGUUUAGGUCCGGGUCGAUCAGUUUCGUCCAACUUGCCGGACUCCGGUCUCCACGGCCGGUCAACCGUGCGAAUCAUGGAGGGAGGGCAAAUCGUUUCCUCUGGAGGACCAAGGAAAGGAUGAACUGGCGUUUACUAUCGUUUUGGGGGCUGUGGAUAAUAAUAGUUCUUGUUGGAAUGUUGGACUGGCCGGUCGGCGUACCGUGUUUCCGUUUCAAGCUUUCAACACGGCGCGCCUGGGGCAGGCAACAACGACGUUGGACUCUUCAUUAACUGAUUUGCACGAAAUAUGCCGCUCACUAGAUUCUUUUACACGUAGAAAAUAGACAAUUUUGCGUGAAAAUACAAAUAAAUACUUUCUCUGGUGGCGGAAUCGAAUCCGGGCCGAGUGUUGUUAAGCUUAAGUUAAUGAUUUGGGGGAGGGGAGAGGUCCCUGCUAGUUCCCCGGUCCUGUUAUCUACUCAAAUUGGGUAAUCUAUUUUGGAACGGAGAGUUAGUAUAAAGUUGGGUCAUCUAUUUUGAAACGGCGGGAGUAAAAGGCAACCUUAGAAAUGUUUAGGGUGUGUUUGACAACCGUUUCAAUGCAGCCUGGCUCAACGAAGCCUGACUCAUACUCAUCGGAGGCUGGUUGAGGAAAUACAGGCGAAAAACUAACACAUGCACAUUGUUUGGUUGCCCGCAUCUAGGUCUCUCGUGUUAGGGGAGUAAUUUUGGCAUAGUGUUUAGUUUCCUGCAUUGGCUCGGCUCAUGAAACUACAUGGUGUUUGGUUGUAUACGCAACAUAGGAUUAAGAGUUAACACUUACACUUAACACACGCAGUUACACCAUGCCUCACGACUACGGUGGACGGUUCCCGCGGCGCCACGUCCGACACGACGGGCACGGAGUCUCGGGCGAGCGUUCCUGCUGGCGCAACGGUGAACUGGUUGCUAGCGUCGCGUCGCCACCGCUGAGAAAGUCCACGCGGAGGAGCAUAGAGGCAGAGGACAGGGGAGAAGAAAUGCAGUGUGUGUCAGACCAGGACGACUGCGGUGGAUGGUGACCACGACGCCGCGUCCGACAUGACGAGCAUGGAGUCUCGGCCUCUCCGGCGAGCAAUCCUGCCGAUGCCACGGCACACUAGUUGCUAGCGUCGUCGUCGCAGACAAAGUCCGUGUGGAGGAGCGCUAAGGCAUAUGACGGGGGAGAAGAAAUGCAAUAUGCGCGUAAUGCAUCGUCACCGCGGUAGGAUCUUGAAAAAGAAACUUGCAACAUGAAUAUCAUGAGGAACUGCAAGAUUAGGCUACUGGCCAAAGAAAAUUUCAAACAGUCGAUCGUGCGCGACGAAUCUGACAAAAUUCAUCCAAAAUAGCUUCUAAUGUGAACACAAAAUUGAGCAUUUACGGUCGACGAAACUACGAACAAAUCCCCUGAAUGAAACCGUAACAUCGAUGUGCAUCUUUCUCAUGUAGAGCUUAUCUUGAAUCGAAGCACCGUUGUGUUGAUUAGAGAGGAGAAGAAAGAAAGGAGAUUAGGAAGUAGUUUAGUGGAGGCAAAAGAAGAAACACGUACACAGCUUGCAUCCUCGUGCAAGGGGCCCACACAUGUGUGCUCGCUGUGCAUUGCUCGGGCCUAGCUCUCCAAAACUGCCGAUUCAGGCGUUGGGACUGGCUCGGAGGUGCUUUAAAAUUUAUGCCAUGCACGCCGAAUAGUAUAUGCAAGCAACUUAUCAACCCGUUUCCUUACCUAGCUGGCCUGGUUGGGCCUUAUACGGGCAACCAAACACACCAAUAAUGCCUCGUCUCUGCACUCAAGUACACAACUCAAACACGUGAAGUUGAAACACAUACAUCAACGUGGAGGUCCGCAGACGGAAUGGCCCGGGCGAUGGUCUGUGCCCUCUCUAUGGGAUAUCUAAGGAUUACAACAACAUCUUCUUCACAUGCGUUGCAGCCCAGUUUCUUUGGAGCUGCUUCCGGGAGGCCGUGGGUGGGAAUUGGUGCCACUCCAACUUCCCGGAUCUCUUCAACGAGAUCCAGGCCUCCUCCCGGUCCAAUCGCCACAUUAGGUGGCUUGAGAUUGGUGUCCUAGCUUGUGUUGGGGAACGUAGUAAUUUCAAAAUUUUCCUACGCACACGCAAGAUCAUGGUGAUGCAUAGCAACGAGAGGGGAGAGUGUUGUCUACGUACCCUCGUAGACCGAAAGCGGAAGCGUUAUGACAACGCGGUUGAUGUAGUCGUAUGUCUUCACGAUCCGACUGAUCCAAGUACCGAACGUACGGCACCUCCGAGUUCAGCACACGUUCAGCUCGAUGAAGAUCUCCGGACUCCGAUCCAGCAGGGUGUCGGGGAUGAGUUCCGUCAGCACGACGGUGUCGUGACGAUGAUGAUGUUCUAGCAACGCAGGGCUUUGCCUAAGCACCGCUACGAUAUGUCCGAGAUGGAAUAUGAUGGAGGGGGGCACCGCGCACGGCUAAGGAAUGAUCAUGAAGAUCAACUUGUGUGUCUAGAGGUGCCCCCUGCCCCCGUAUAUAAAGGAGCAAUGGGGGAGGCCGGCCUACCCUAGGGGUGCGCCAAGGAGGGGGGAGUCCUCCUCCUAGUGGGAGUAGGACUCCCCUUUCCUAGUCCAACUAGGAAGGAGGAAGGGGGAAGGAAAGAGAGGGAGAGGGAGAGGGAAAGAGGAGCCGCGCCCCCUCCCCUAGUCCAAUUCGGACUCCUCAUGGGAGGGGGCGCGCCACCUCCUGGGCUGCUGCCCUCUCUCUCCCCUCAGGCCCACUAAGGCCCAAUACUUCCCCGGGGGGUUCCGGUAAGCCCUCCGGCACUCCGGUUUUCUACGAAAUCACCCGGAACACUUUCGGUGUCCGAAUAUAGUCGUCCAAUAUAUCAAUCUUUAUGUCUCGACCAUUUUGAGACUCCUCGUCAUGUUCGUGAUCACAUUCGGGACUCCGAACAACCUUCGGUACAUCACAACUUAUAAACUCAUAAUAAAACUGUCAUCGUAACGUUAAGCGUGCGGACCCUACGGGUUCGAGAACUAUGUAGACAUGACCUAGAACUGUUUCCGGUCAAUAACCAAUAGCGGAACCUGGAUGCUCAUAUUGGCUCCUACAUAUUCUACGAAGAUCUUUAUCGGUCAAAACAUACGUUAUUCCCUUUGUCACCGGUAUGUUACUUGCCCGAGAUUUGAUCGUCGGUAUCCAAUACCUAGUUCAAUCUCGUUAUCGGCAAGUCUCUUUACUCGUUACGUAAUGCAUCAUUCCGUAACUAACUCAUUAGCUACAUUGCUUGCAAGGCUUAUAGUGAUGUGCAUUACCGAGAGGGCCCAGAGAUACCUCUCCGACAAUCGGAGUGACAAAACCUAAUCUCGAAAUACGUCAACUCAACAUGUACCUUUGGAGACACCUGUAGAGCUCCUUUAUAAUCAUCCAGUUACGUUGUGACGUUUGGUAGCACACAAAGUGUUCCUCCGGUAAACGGGAGUUGCAUAAUCUCAUAGUUGUAGGAACUUUUGUAUAAGUCAUGAAGAAAGCAAUAGCAACAUACUAAACGAUCAAGUGCUAGGCUAACGGAAUGAGUCAAGUCAAUCACAUCAUUCUCCUAAUGAUGUGAUCCCGUUAAUCAAAUGACAACACAUGUCUAUGGUUAGUAAACAUAACCAUCUUUGAUUAAUGAGCUAGUCAAGUAGAGGCAUACUAAUGACAUUAUGUUUGUCUAUGUAUUCACACAUGUAUAAUGUUUUCGGGUAAUACAAUUCUAGCAUGAAUAAUAAACAUUUAUCAUGAUAUGAGGGAAUAAAUAAUAACUUUAUUAUUGCCUCUAGGGCAUAUUUCCGCCGUAGUCGUCCCGCCUGCGGCCGCCGAAGCACGAGCCGAACUCCAAGCACAUUCUAUAGGUGGCGAGUGGUGACUGGCACCGGGUGCUUCUUUUUGUCUACUUCCUCCUGGAAGUAGCUGCUGGGGUGGGUAUCAG